rnacentral:lncRNA from 1 species
AUAGUUCUCACGCAAGCUCUGAUGGUAAUUCCAGAAAAUGGACUUAGCAAGGAUCCAGCAAUAGUAACUAACGGGGUUUGGGUAGUUCGGUUCUUAGAAGAGGAUGUGGUGGGAGAAUCUUUUUGUAAACUGUGAGGAUGUGUCACUCUGAUUGGUUUUUUAAAAAAAAGGUGAACAGCCAAUAGCUAGGCAGGAUUUCUAGGCACAGAGGACACUGGGAAGAAGGGCAGAAAUGCCAGGAUGCAGAGGGAGCAGCGUGGGCAAAAUGCAGAGUAAAGACACUAGAAAGUCAGAUGCCUGCCUCGUGACAAGGAACCAAUCAGAAGUUAGCUGGUGGCGCUAUGCUUUACGACCCUGGGUGUGCUUUACGGACAAUUGGACAAGCGGACAAGCGCACAGCAAUGAUGCACAAAGUAUAGCAACCACCCUGGGAGGACCUAUGGGCCAUAACAACCAGUUGACCAAUCAACACAGGGCAAGCCCUCCAAGCCUGGAGGCACACCAAUCCUGAGCCUGUGCGUACCCCUAGACACUCCCCUUACGCUGCCCUAUAAAGAUCUGUGCACAGCGGCUUCAAACUGUCUUUGCUAGCCAUCCGUCAUGGUGGGUGGGUCAAAGACCCGAGCUAACAUGGGGUUAGCUCGUUAAAUUACAAUAAAGCCUCGUGCAGUUUGCAGCAAGCUCUCGAAUCUGCCUGGUGAUUGGGGUGACCGAGAACGUGGCCUGGGACCCCGGAUACUUGAGUUUUCGGGGGUCUAACAAAUCAGCGGUUAAGAGUACUUAGUGUGACAGAGAAAGAGUGCUGAGGUUCCUCCAUCUUGUAUUCUUGCUAAGGUCAUUUCAGGUUUAGCUAGAAUUUGAUCUCCUUGAUAGAGAAUUCUGUGGGGGACUGAAUAUCUCUGUUAUGGAAUAUUUUGGGUCCCAGGCUCUGGCUGCUGUAAACAGGAAGCUCCGGGUCACCAUUGUAUUGUUAAUUAACACUAGUCUAUUACUGUUUACCAUGGCCUAAGGUGAUAUACCUCCUAAUUUGCAUCUCUGUAGCUUAAGCCUUGAGUAGGCCCAUACCUGAGCUGAAGACUCUGCCCUGACCAAGAGUUGUUUAGGUAACAGAAUCACUUGCCCCUCCUGAGAUGAUAUGGUGUUUCCUGUCUCAUCAUUAGCUUCGUUGGGUAAUUAAAAUUCCCUAGUCCACACACCUCCACUCAGAAUCGGACCCGGGACUGUACGGCUGGCUCCGUCCACAGUCCUGAAGACAUCGGAACAGAAUUCCAUGAAAAAUUACCAAACCCUCUUCUCAGAACUGAAGGUCAAGAUACCCAAGCUAACUUACAAUUGUUUUGAUAAACUGCCUGCUUCUACUACAGAAACCCCUCCAGUUAACUGCUUAUCUUAGCUUCUGUUAAACUGCUUGCUUCUGCAAAUUUCCCGAUGUGGUUUUUGCCUUCAAACAACCCAUGCUCUGGACACUCAGGGCUAUACCUGGGUCCCUGAAUACCUGAGUAUAGUCCCAGCCAGCUGGAAUAAAGGC